rnacentral:rRNA from 1 species
CACAAGCGGUGGAGUAUGUUGUUUAAUUCGAAGAUACACGAAGAACCUUACCAGGUCUUGACAUACCAUUGACAGGUGUAGAGAUACACUCUCCUUCGGGCAAUGGAUACAGGUGGUGCAUGGUUGUCGUCAGCUCGUGCCGUGAGGUGUUGGGUUUAAGUCCCGCAACGAGCGCAACCCUCAUUGUUAGUUACUACCAUUCAGUUGAGGACUCUAAUGAGACUGCCAACGACAAGUUGGAGGAAGGUGGGGAUGACGUCAAAUCAUCAUGCCCUUUAUGACCUGGGCUACAAACGUACUACAAUGGCCAAUACAAAGAGAUGCGAAGCGGUGACGUGAAGCGAACCUCAGAAAGUUGGUCUCAGUUCAGAUUGAAGUCUGCAACUCGACUUCAUGAAGGCGGAAUCGCUAGUAAUCGCGGGUCAGCAGACCGCGGUGAAUACGUUCCCGGGUUUU